UACCGCAUAACGUCGCAAGACCAAAGUGGGGGACCUUCGGGCCUCAUGCCAUCAGAUGUGCCCAGAUGGGAUUAGCUAGUAGGUGGGGUAACGGCUCACCUAGGCGACGAUCCCUAGCUGGUCUGAGAGGAUGACCAGCCACACUGGAACUGAGACACGGUCCAGACUCCUACGGGAGGCAGCAGUGGGGAAUAUUGCACAAUGGGCGCAAGCCUGAUGCAGCCAUGCCGCGUGUGUGAAGAAGGCCUUCGGGUUGUAAAGCACUUUCAGCGGGGAGGAAGGCGGUGAGGUUAAUAACCUCAUCGAUUGACGUUACCCGCAGAAGAAGCACCGGCUAACUCCGUGCCAGCAGCCGCGGUAAUACGGAGGGUGCAAGCGUUAAUCGGAAUUACUGGGCGUAAAGCGCACGCAGGCGGUCUGUCAAGUCGGAUGUGAAAUCCCCGGGCUCAACCUGGGAACUGCAUUCGAAACUGGCAGGCUAGAGUCUUGUAGAGGGGGGUAGAAUUCCAGGUGUAGCGGUGAAAUGCGUAGAGAUCUGGAGGAAUACCGGUGGCGAAGGCGGCCCCCUGGACAAAGACUGACGCUCAGGUGCGAAAGCGUGGGG
rnacentral:rRNA from 1 species